AGUGAACGCUGGCGGUAGGCCUAGCACAUGCAAGUCGAACGGCAGCACAGUAAGAGCUUGCUCUUACGGGUGGCGAGUGGCGGACGGGUGAGGAAUACAUCGGAAUCUACUUUUUCGUGGGGGAUAACGUAGGGAAACUUACGCUAAUACCGCAUACGACCUACGGGUGAAAGCAGGGGAUCUUCGUACCUUGCGCGAUUGAAUGAGCCGAUGUCGGAUUAGCUAGUUGGCGGGGUAAAGGCCCACCAAGGCGACGAUCCGUAGCUGGUCUGAGAGGAUGAUCAGCCACACUGGAACUGAGACACGGUCCAGACUCCUACGGGAGGCAGCAGUGGGGAAUAUUGGACAAUGGGCGCAAGCCUGAUCCAGCCAUACCGCGUGGGUGAAGAAGGCCUUCGGGUUGUAAAGCCCUUUUGUUGGGAAAGAAAAGCAGCAGGUUAAUACCCCGCUGUUCUGACGGUACCCAAAGAAUAGGCACCGGCUAACUUCGUG
rnacentral:rRNA from 1 species